rnacentral:rRNA from 1 species
UAUGAAGUUGGAAUCGCUAGUAAUCGCGGAUCAGCAUGCCGCGGUGAAUACGUUCCCGGGCCUUGUACACACCGCCCGUCACACCAUGGGAGUCGGGAAUGCCCGAAGCCGGUGGCCCAAUCGAAAGAAGGGAGCCGUCGAAGGCAGGCCGGAUGACUGGGGUGAAGUCGUAACAAGGUAUC